rnacentral:rRNA from 1 species
CGCGCAGGCGGUUGAUUAAGUCUGAUGUGAAAGCCCACGGCUUAACCGUGGAGGGUCAUUGGAAACUGGUCGACUUGAGUGCAGAAGAGGGAAGUGGAAUUCCAUGUGUAGCGGUGAAAUGCGUAGAGAUAUGGAGGAACACCAGUGGCGAAGGCGGCUUCCUGGUCUGUAACUGACACUGAGGCGCGAAAGCGUGGGAGCAAACA